rnacentral:lncRNA from 1 species
UCUUUUAAAACUUGUGAUUACUAUUGGAUAUGAUUGUGUCUGUAGAAAGACUUCCCAGCCUUCUUUAGAACUUAGGAGGUGCCUCUGUUCUCAGCAUAGGCAAUAUUAAUCUCAGCUCACAUUGUCUCUGGAUGGGAUUUCUGUUUGAGAAACAAGAACUAGAAUGGACAAGGUAGGUAUAUGGAACAUUUUAAAACACUGAAUAGAAAAUAUGUAAGAUACAUUAUCCUUAAAGCAACUCAAAGGGCUUUUACAGCAUAAUCUCAGUUCUUGUCAUACCU